rnacentral:snoRNA from 1 species
CCCGGUGCACGUGAUGACCACACUUUUUUCCCCAUCAGAUCGACCGUGUUGAUCUCGCUGCCAAGCCAGGCUGUGUCUGAUGCACCGGU